CGGGGUGAGUAAUGUCUGGGAAACUGCCCGAUGGAGGGGGAUAACUACUGGAAACGGUAGCUAAUACCGCAUAACGUCGCAAGACCAAAGAGGGGGACCUUCGGGCCUCUUGCCAUCGGAUGUGCCCAGAUGGGAUUAGCUAGUAGGUGGGGUAAUGGCUCACCUAGGCGACGAUCCCUAGCUGGUCUGAGAGGAUGAUCAGCCACACUGGGACUGAGACACGGCCCAG
rnacentral:rRNA from 1 species